ACCGGCAGCUCAAGUGGUGGCCAUUAUUAUUGGGCCUAAAGCGUUCGUAGCCGGUUUGAUAAGUCUCUGGUGAAAUCCCGCAGCUUAACUGUGGGACUUGCUGGAGAUACUAUCAGACUUGAGGUCGGGAGAGGUUAGGGGUACUCCCAGGGUAGCGGUGCAAUCCUAUAAUCCUGGGAGGACUACCUGCGGCAAAGGCGACUAACUGGAACGCUCCUGAUGGUGAGUAACGAAAGCCAGGGGCGCGAACCG
rnacentral:rRNA from 1 species